rnacentral:rRNA from 2 species
AUAAGCGGAGGAAAAGAAACUAACAAGGAUUCCCCUAGUAACUGCGAGUGAAGCGGGAAAAGCUCAAAUUUAAAAUCUGGCAGCCCUCUGGCUGUCCGAGUUGUAAUCUAGAGAAGUGUUAUCCGCGCUGGACCGUGUACAAGUCUCCUGGAAUGGAGCGUCAUAGAGGGUGAGAAUCCCGUCUUUGACACGGACUGCCAGGGCUCUGUGAUGCGCUCUCUAAGAGUCGAGUUGUUUGGGAAUGCAGCUCAAAAUGGGUGGUAAAUUCCAUCUAAAGCUAAAUAUUGGCGAGAGACCGAUAGCGAACAAGUACCGUGAGGGAAAGAUGAAAAGAACUUUGGAAAGAGAGUUAAACAGUACGUGAAAUUGCUGAAAGGGAAACGCUUGAAGUCAGUCGCGUUGGCCAGGGAUCAACCUUGCUUUUGCUUGGUGUACUUUCUGGUUGACGGGUCAGCAUUAAUUUUGAUCAUUGGAAAAAGAUUAGGGGAAUGUGGCAUCUUCGGAUGUGUUAUAGCCCUUGGUUGCAUACAAUGGUUGGGAUUGAGGAACUCAGCACGCCGCAAGGCCGGGUUUUUAACCACGUACGUGCUUAGGAUGCUGGCAUAAUGGCUUUAAUCGACCCGUCUUGAAACACGGACCAAGGAGUCUAACAUGCCUGCGAGUGUUUGGGUGGAAAACCCGAGCGCGCAAUGAAAGUGAAAGUUGAGAUCCCUGUCGUGGGGAGCAUUGACGCCCGGACCAGACCUUUUGUGACGGUUCUGCGGUAGAGCAUGUAUGUUGGGACCCGAAAGAUGGUGAACUAUGCCUGAAUAGGGUGAAGCCAGAGGAAACUCUGGUGGAGGCUCGUAGCGAUUCUGACGUGCAAAUCGAUCGUCAAAUUUGGGUAUAGGGGCGAAAGACUAAUCGAACCAUCUAGUAGCUGGUUCCUG